rnacentral:lncRNA from 1 species
GGGAUCCACUCUGAAUCUAACUGUUUAUGAAUUUGCAACAUCCGAGCCUCGUCUCAUCUCUUCAAAAUCCUCCAGUACUGCUCUGAUCUGCAGGUUUCCUGAUGGCAGCACUGGGGAAGCUGUUGGCCACUUCGGGAGAGCCCAGGUAGACCUGAGGACAAAUGGACUGGGAGCUCCUGAAGAAGACUGAGGUCAGUCAGGAACAGAAGGGCAUUCUGGACUGAGUCACUGAGUUACAGCCCCCAGGAGCGCUGUGAGAUUGUGCGCUGGUGCCCUACACAUUCCCUUUUCUCACGGGGCUGCUGUUUGUCAAUCCAAG